rnacentral:rRNA from 1 species
UCUCUGCUCAGACGACGCGGCGGCGUGCUAAUACAUGCAAGUCGAGCGGACAGAUGGGAGCUUGCUCCCUGAUGUAGCGGCGGACGGGUGAGUAACACGUGGGUAACCUGCCUGUAAGACUGGGAUAACUCCGGGAAACCGGGGCUAAUACCGGAUGGUUGUUGAACCGCAUGGUUCAGACAUAAAAGGUGGCUUCGGCUACCACUUACAGAUGGACCCGCGGCGCAUUAGCUAGUUGGUGAGGUAACGGCUCACCAAGGCGACGAUGCGUAGCCGACCUGAGAGGGUGAUCGGCCACACUGGGACUGAGACACGGCCCAGACUCCUACGGGAGGCAGCAGUAGGGAAUCUUCCGCAAUGGACGAAAGUCUGACGGAGCAACGCCGCGUGAGUGAUGAAGGUUUUCGGAUCGUAAAGCUCUGUUGUUAGGGAAGAACAAGUGCCGUUCAAAUAGGGCGGCACCUUGACGGUACCUAACCAGAAAGCCACGGCUAACUACGUGCCAGCAGCCGCGGUAAUACGUAGGUGGCAAGCGUUGUCCGGAAUUAUUGGGCGUAAAGGGCUCGCAGGCGGUUUCUUAAGUCUGAUGUGAAAGCCCCCGGCUCAACCGGGGAGGGUCAUUGGAAACUGGGGAACUUGAGUGCAGAAGAGGAGAGUGGAAUUCCACGUGUAGCGGUGAAAUGCGUAGAGAUGUGGAGGAACACCAGUGGCGAAGGCGACUCU